rnacentral:tRNA from 12 species
GGCCAGGUGAUGGAAUGGUAGACAUGCAAGUCUCAAAAACUUGUGGCAGGAAACUGCCGUGAGAGUUCGAAUCUCUCCCUGGCCA